rnacentral:rRNA from 1 species
AGCGUUGCUCGGAAUCGCUGGGCGUAAAGGGUGCGUAGGCGGGUCUUUAAGUCAGGGGUGAAAUCCUGGAGCUCAACUCCAGAACUGCCUUUGAUACUGAAGAUCUUGAGUUCGGGAGAGGUGAGUGGAACUGCGAGUGUAGAGGUGAAAUUCGUAGAUAUUCGCAAGAACACCAGUGGCGAAGGCGGCUCACUGGCCCGAUACUGACGCUGAGGCACGAAAGCGUGGGGAGCAAACAGG